rnacentral:rRNA from 1 species
UGGGGAAUAUUGGACAAUGGGCGCAAGCCUGAUCCAGCAACGCCGCGUGGAGGAUGAAGGUCUUCGGAUCGUAAACUCCUGUCAGAUGGGACGAAGGUAACGAGGUGAACAAUCUCGUUGUUUGACGGUACCGUCAGAGGAAGCCCCGGCUAACUCCGUGCCAGCAGCCGCGGUAAUACGGAGGGGGCGAGCGUUAUUCGGAAUUAUUGGGCGUAAAGGGCGCGUAGGCGGCCCGAUAAGUCAAAGGUGAAAUCCCUCGGCUCAACUGAGGAACUGCCUUUGAAACCGUCGAGCUCGAGUCCGGGAGGGGGUAGCGGAAUUCCCAGUGUAGCGGUGAAAUGCGUAGAUAUUGGGAGGAACACCAGUGGCGAAGGCGGCUACCUGGACCGGUUCUGACGCUGAUGCGCGAAAGCGUGGGUAGCAAACAGGAUUAGAUACC